rnacentral:lncRNA from 10 species
CAAGGCCUUUUAUCUGCUAAUGAGAAAGGAGCCAGAAAAACUUCAUCUCUUUUACAAGAAACAUUGAGAUUCCUGUAAAAUUAAGAAAUCACACAAUUUGAUGGUCUACAUUAUCUAAAGCAAAUGAGACUUCUAUUUGGAACAAAGACUACCUUGUUGGGAAAUGAGUCUGCAAGUUAAAGUGUUUUCUGAAAGAUGGUAUCUGUAUCAUCUAGACUGUGUUUGCCCUGAGGAGAAACUAAGACAGACAUGCCCAAAGGCUGAACUCAAUAUCUUUGUAGAAAUUAUUAAAAGCAAUAUCACCUUUAGCCUUGUCAAGAACCUCUAACAAGACCUUUUCAGACCAAAGUGCCCUCAAUAUCAGAGCAUGUAGUCACCCACCCCAGGUUGACCCCGGAAGUAUGAGAGAGCUAAGGUGGGAGCCAGAGGCUGAGAGAAGAAAGGGGGUGACCUAGUUCAUGCCAAAUGAAUCUCACAAGCAAGACUAGAUUGUAAAAUCAGCAAAGUCGCUCACAGCUGCAUUAUGUCCUCCCUGAGCUCUGGGCACUUUUGCCUUUGUGACCUCCUUCCUCCAACAAUUAACAUUAAAAAUUGUAU